GACGAAGGGGGCUAGCGUUGUUCGGAAUUACUGGGCGUAAAGCGCGUGUAGGCGGUUGUCCAAGUUGGAUGUGAAAGCCUUGAGCUUAACUCAAGAAAUGCAUUCAGGACUGGAUGACUAAAGGACCGGAGAGGAUAGUGGAAUUCCCAGUGUAGUGGUGAAAUACGUAGAGAUUGGGAAGAACACCAGUGGCGAAGGCGGCUAUCUGGACGGUUUCUGACGCUAAGACGCGAAAGCGUGGGGAGCAAACAGG
rnacentral:rRNA from 1 species